ACACUAAUUGGAACCGGCCUCGGUCUGGUGGCGAGUGGCGAACGGGUGAGUAAUGUAUCGGAACGUGCCCAGUAGCGGGAGAAACUACGCGAAAGCGUAGCUAAUACCGCAUACGCCCUACGGGGGAAAGCAGGGGAUCGUAAGACCUUGCACUAUUGGAGCGGCCGAUAUCGGAUUAGCUAGUUGGUGGGGUAAUGGCUCACCAAGGCGACGAUCCGUAGCUGGUUUGAGAGGACGACCAGCCACACUGGGACUGAGACACGGCCCAGACUCCUACGGGAGGCAGCAGUGGGGAAUUUUGGACAAUGGGGGAAACCCUGAUCCAGCCAUCCCGCGUGUGCGAUGAAGGCCUUCGGGUUGUAAAGCACUUUUGGCAGGAAAGAAACGUCAUGGGUUAAUACCCCGUGAAACUGACGGUACCUGCAGAAUAAGCACCGGCUAACUACGUGCCAGCAGCCGCGGUAAUACGUAGGGUGCAAGCGUUAAUCGGAAUUACUGGGCGUAAAGCGUGCGCAGGCGGUUCGGAAAGAAAGAUGUGAAAUCCCAGAGCUUAACUUUGGAACUGCAUUUUUAACUACCGGGCUAGAGUGUGUCAGAGGGAGGUGGAAUUCCGCGUGUAGCAGUGAAAUGCGUAGAUAUGCGGAGGAACA
rnacentral:rRNA from 1 species